rnacentral:rRNA from 1 species
CCUACGGGGGGCAGCAGUGGGGAAUAUUGCGCAAUGGGCGAAAGCCUGACGCAGCGACGCCGCGUGAGGGAUGAAGGUCUUCGGAUCGUAAACCUCUGUCAGCAGGGAAGAACGGUCACUGUGCUAAUCAGCAGUGAAUUGACGGUACCUGCAAAGGCAGCACCGGAUAACUCCGUGCCAGCAGCCGCGGUAAUACGGAGGGUGCGAGCGUUAAUCGGAAUUACUGGGCGUAAAGCGCUCGUAGGCGGUAUGUCAAGUCAAGGGUGAAAUCCCCGCGCUCAACGUGGGAACUGCCGUUGAAACUGGCAAACUGGAGUGUGUGAGAGGAGAGUGGAAUUCCAGGUGUAGGAGUGAAAUGCGUAGAUAUCUGGAGGAACAUCAGUGGCGAAGGCGACUAUCUGGCACAUAACUGACGCUGAGGAGCGAAAGCGUGGGUAGCAAACAGGAUUAGAUACCCGUGUAGUC